UUAUAUUAGGUCUGUGGUUGAAAGUCGAAGCCAGCCGCAGGCGAAGCGAUCCACGUAAGUCAGACAAAGUCUGAUGAGCAUGGUGCGGUUUAGGGGUAAGACCUGCCGCCUUAGGGCGAGAGGGGCUAUAGUGAGAGGAAUACACCUUAAGCAAAACCUCCAGCAGGCGAGUGUGGGGGCAAAAACCAGGUCAGCUAAUAUAA
rnacentral:ncRNA from 1 species